GACCAGCUUCAAUGGCCGGUUCCUUUCGGGACCCUUGUGUUUUUCCCCCCUGCGUUUUUUUUUCCUUCUUAUGUUUUUUGUCCGGUGGCUUUCUCUCUCUACCUUCUCCUCCUGAACUCAGCAAAAAUCAAAACCAAAUAGACUACCUCUUGUUGCAUCUUUGACUGCCCCUCUUCUUUCUUUUCUAGAUCUCCAGAUGCGGAGAACUAGUAAAUUAUUCUAAUCAUCACUUUCCUAGAUUCUCGUGAAUAAUAAGAAGAGGACGAUGAUGACUACCGUCUUCAUCUUCACUCUCUCGUAAUGUCUUCCUCUACGCCGUUGUUUCACAACUCCCUCCUCUCCUCCUCCUCCCCUUGUUCCCAAUACACCAAAAACGCCGGCACCACGUGCUUCUCCAUAUUCUCGUACUCCACAUCAAACCCAACUCCGCUUCUUCAACUCAAAAGUUGGGAUCAUGAUUAUUAUCCUCGAAACGCACCGUUUUGGGUCGUUUCGGAUCGGAAACCGAGGAGGGGCAAUGUCAUCAGGCUGCAUGCUUCGGUGGCGAAGACGGCCUCCUCCAACUCCGCAGUCUCUAAUUCGUCGACUACAAAACGCGUCGUUUUGAGCUCCGUAAUGACCGUUGCCCUCGCCGUCGGCAACAAGGUGCUCUACAAGCUCGCGCUCGUCCCCAUGAAGCACCACCCUUUCUUUUUCGCCCAACUCACAACCUUCGGCUAUGUGAUUAUAUACUUUUCAAUAUUGUACCUACGUUACCGUUCUGGGAUGGUGACGGAUGAAAUGAUAGCCCUUCCCAAAGCUCCGUUUGUGGCCAUUGGUGCAUUGGAUGCUCUCGGAGUCGCGGCCGGGAUGGCUGCUGUAGCCAUGCUUCCCGGACCGGCCAUACCCUUAUUGAGUCAGACAAUGUUGGUGUGGCAGCUGGGUUUUUCUUCUCUUAUCUUGGGGAAAAGAUACAGAUGCAAUCAGAUUGUUGGCUGCAUCCUUGUAGCUGUAGGUGUAGUGCUAGCUGUUGCGAGUGGGUCUGAUUCUAGCCGGAUGCUAUCUGGAGUUAAGCCUGUGUGGCCGCUACUAAUGAUUGCUUCAAGUGCAUUUCAAGCUGGUGCAUUUAUAAUCAAGGAAUUCAUCUUUGUUGAUGCUGCUGUCCAGCUCAAGGAAAAAUCACUUGACAUAUUGGUCGUCAAUUCUUUUGGAUCUGCAUAUCAGGCGCUUUUUGUACUUCUUUUUUACCUUUCUUAUCAAAUAUGAGAGGCAUACCAUUUGCUCAACUUCCUACAUAUCUAAAAGACGGUGCUGGUUGCUUUUUGAAUAUUGGAGCUGGUGCAUCAGGUUGUAACGGAGCUCCAUUGCUCCCCCUGCUUUAUGUAGCUACCAAUCUAUUGUUCAAUAUAUCCUUGAUGAAUGUGGUAAAGAUUUCCUCAGCGGUUGUUUCUUCGCUUGUUGUGAUGUUGUCAGUGCCAAUUUCGAUUUACGUUCUUUCCCUUCCAUUGCCAUAUCUUGAAGCGGGUGCAACGUUGAGCCCCUUUUUCCUCUUUGGUAGUGCAAUUCUUGUCUUGGGUCUUAUUUUGUACAGCAUACCCCAGCCUGCCAAGGAUUGCUCCAAAAUUAGUUAAAAUUAUUUUUGUGAGAUGUUACGUGGUUAAUUAGUUACGUCUCCAAAUCCAAUCCGUUUUUUUCCUUAAGCUGAGUUUAGUAUUGCAGUGAGAAUAAUCGAUAGUGAAAAACUCCAUGGUGAGAAUGAUUAGGUUUCGGUAAAUUGUGUAUUUAAAUUUUGAGUUGAUGUGAAUGUGAUUAAAUAAAAAAGGAAAAGGAUAAGUAGAUUUGUGUUGUGUUUGUUA